CCCCCACCAAAAUCCCGGUGCCUCCGUCUCUCCGUGGAGCCAUCGCCGCCGUUGAUCCCGUGGCCAACACCGCUUGUUUUCCCUCGUGCUCGCGGGGACCGGCCGAUGUUGUCGUCGUCGCCUGCCCAUUGAGUUUGCAAAGCUAACCAGCGCCAUUGCCACCCCAUGGAUCCAGUGAUGAGUGCCUGAUUUUUCCGCUUGUAUCGACCUCGUCGAGCCAACUAGUGCUGCUGGAUUUAAUUUUUUUUGUACUUUGCUUGAUUCACUCUGGCUUAGAUUUGUGUACUUUGCUUGCUUCACUCUGGUUUAGAUCCGUUUUGGGGGAUUUUUUUUCUGAAGAGGUGAAUGAAUUGCCUCUCCACAAAAUUAAUCUGUUGAUUUGUUUAGGUUUGAUCUCACACAAUGUGCUGUGGUUUGGGAUUGGACAGAGGAGGAAGUAUAGGUGUGCGAAGAGUUUAUUGCUGGUAGGUUUUGGUUGUGUGAACAUGAACCACUUGAAAGUUUGUGAAGAAGGUUUUUUUUCUGGGAUGUGAAAGUGACACAUACGAAAGAGUACUAGUUGGGCAUGUGUUUGAUUUGCUUUGCUUCUAGCUAGGCUCCUGGAUCUAUAUGAUCAUGUGCAAUCAUACAGGCCAAUAUCCUUUGUGCCAAUUCUCUAGAGAAAUCGGUCUGCAGUAGCAAGAGAUACAAGAGAGGCUUCGGCCCCAUUAACAUUUUUGGCAACAAGUGGAUUGCCCUAGUCCAGUUUGAUGGCUUAGAUGAUUCAGAGUAAGAAGAGUUGAAGAAAUCUAGUUUUCACAAGGAGAGGUACCAGUGUCUCCCAAUGAACCAUGGCUCUUUCGUGAGAUUGAGCUAUACUCUGAAUAUGCCAUUUAUCUGUGUAAUUCAGGUUACACUCUUCAAUUUUGUGUUGGUUUUGGUUACAUACUUGAUUUUCAGCAAACUGGACAUGGAAAAUUCAGUGUUGCGUUCAAAGUUCUGAAGAGGACGGAUGGCUGCUUAUAUUGUGUAAAAAUGUAUCAGGCAACUGCAUAAUGACAGGGAAAGCUAGUCUUGCAGCAGUCGUUCAAAGUUCUGAAUGUGCAUGAAUUGUGGAAAGCAUGUGUACUUUGGGUGAGUGUUUGUCAUGUGAAAGUAUCUCAAUUACAUGGCAUGCUGAUGCUUAAUUAAAUAAUUGAUUAUGCAUCAGAAUUUGAUCAUGCAUGCGUUGUGUGCUUGUUUCUCUGUGGAUUCUUAUGGCACAAGCUGCUGCAAGAUUAGCACUUUAAAUAACAGAAUUCUGCACAUUAUUUUUGU